AGAGGCCAAAGAGAAGAUGUACCUGCAUUUUUUUGAUAGCUUUAAUCUCAUUCUUUGGAUUUGGGGACGGCUAAAAUUAAAGUAUUUUAGCACAAUUAGGGCUCAUACUUUAUCAUUUUCUGGGGUUUAUGGAUUUAUCUGGAGUACACAGCUACAAGAUGAUGAAAUUAUAGAAUUACAGAGUUCUGAAAACGAAAGAGUGAAAUUGUAAAAUUCGAAGAACUUUCUGAAAUUAUCAAGUUCGAAGAAAUUAUCAACAAUUAUGGCAUUGCGGAAUUUAUAGAGCUGUAGAGUUACAAAAAUUAUGAAACAUUGUAAGAUGCCACAUAGAAUUAUUUAAAAAAUAGAAUUAAUCAGAGAAAAGAUUAAAUGUAUAUUUUUUUCUCACUUUAUCUCUUCACGUUAUUUUACAUCGACGAUGAUUAUACCCAUUUUCUCUAACAUUUUGUGCCUGAGGUUUUACCUGAUUUACAUCCCCGUAUUCUGUCAGGCUACUAAUCCAUUCCGCGCUUAGCAAGAUGACACAUUUGUGUAAUUCAUCUUCCAACGUACGUCUCUCUGUUUGUAAACUGCGAACAGUUCUAUUCAAAAGCUGUUUUGGAAAGUCAGCUCCUUCUCAACGUACGAGGAUGAAGUCCUUCGCGGCCUUCCUAACGCGGGUGUUGUGCGUGAUUUUCGUUUACACGUCGUUUUAUGAGAAUGUCUAGUCAACAAUGACAAGCUCUGUACAUGCUGUAGAUAUUCGUCGAAACGUUUCGACAGAUUGUCGUCGAGUGGAUGGAAAUUUUCGCGUUGCCGAGCGCAGCCAUAGAGCAGCGUGGCACGUCAAUGGCACGCAACCGCAUCGUAAUCCGUGGUUCGCGAAUCUAAUCCGCUUUUGUUGCUGCCGGAGCCGCGAUAAUGCUCAAGAACUGUCUAGGCAAAACUGCGCAGUACUUUUUCACAAGAGGUAAAAAAUAUGUUUCAUGCGAUAUAUAAAUUAUAAAAGGUAAUAAAAUUCUGGACAAUUUGGACGAUUCUGUGCAGAAAUAUAUUCAUUAAACUAUAUUUAUUAUAAUUAUUCUUCUAUCGUUCAGUAUGUCAGAUAUUGUAUGUAAUAAUAUAUAUUCUAAGUGAGUGCUAUAUUGAGAAAACGUUCUAAAUAAACUAUAUUCACUAUACGCUGAUAGUAAUAAUUAAAUGAUAAUAAUUGAAAUAAUAAUUAAAAUAUUGAUAUCCAAAAAAUUGUCUAUAUUUAUUUUACUUUUAUUGUUUUUAUUUCUGUUGCUAUUAUAUAUGUAUUUUGAUUUCUAUUUGUAUAUUUCAUAUAAUUUUUCUAAAUUAUAUUUAAAUUUCAUAAACUGUACUAUCUCCCUAAAAUUGGUAAUUUAUAUUUUUCAUUCUUUAUUAUCUUCUUUUAUGUUUGUAAAACUUUGAAAUUUCUCGCAAGGUUUAACUGUUAUGUAUAUAUAAUUACAUAUGUUCUAAUAACAUGUAUAAAUCUGAAAAUCUUAAAAAGGCGAUUGCGAUUCAAUAGACGCCAUAAAAUUCGAACCUUGCCCUCUCAACAAUAUAGAUUAAAAAAGAUGGAAAAAA
rnacentral:lncRNA from 1 species